GAGGAAGCUUCUCUGGUGAUGGCUGGGUGAGAUACUGAUCUGAGUCCGGGUCCCGUGUGACCACUGGAGAAUCCCAGCCACUGACAUUGUUGGAAGUGUUCUCUGUGACCAGCUCCCAGGACAGAAUGAUCCCACGCCUCAGGAAGGGAAAGGGAUUACUGAGUGGUUUUCAAUCACCGUGGAUACUGAGCACAUGUAGAGGCUUCCGGUAGAAGCAGGCCCAGAGGCAGGAAAUAGUGUGAUGUGUAAAAACAAAGAAAACUUUAAGGCAACAGCUCACUGCAUGGCCCUGAUGUCACUUAACCUCAGCAGCAAAACAUCCCAGCUGUUUGACAUCACAAUAGUCAUUAGAAUCCGCAAUCCCUGUCCGAGUGUGAGGAAACAAAUGAGGAAACCAGAAGCAAAGAUAUUCUAUAGACCCUGACCAACAUCUUCUCAAGUGCCAAAUUCAUGACAAGCAAGGGAAAACAAAACAAAACAAGAAGACCUGAGGAAUGAAGGUGAGUCUAGAUUGUAUCAAGUUGACAACUGAAAUGGAUCGCCACUGAGAGGUGACCUGGGGUUCUAUCACCAGCAUCAAAAAGGGUUGACACUGGGUGUGAUGCAGGCCUGUUACAGCCAGGAGGCUGAAGCAAGGAGAUGGAUUUCAGUCCAGCCUGGGCUACAGAUU